CCUACGUGUGGCAGCAGUAGGGAAUAUUGCUCAAUGGGGGAAACCCUGAAGCAGCAACGCCGCGGGGAGGAUGAAGGUUUUCGGAUUGUAAACUCCUUUUGUUAGAGGAGAUAAUGACGGUAUCUAACGAAUAAGCACAAGAUAACUCCGUGCCAGCAGCCGCGGUAAUACGGAGGGUGCAAGCGUUACUCGGAAUCACUGGGCGUAAAGAGCGAGUAGGCGGGAUAGUAAGUCAGAUGUGAAAUCCUAUGGCUUAACCAUAGAACUGCAUUUGAAACUGUUAGUCUAGAGUAUGGGAGAGGGAAGUGGAAUUCUUGGUGUAGGAGUAAAAUGCGUAGAUAUCGAGAGGAACACUCGUGGCGAAGGCGGGCUGCUGGAACAUAACUGACGCUGAUGCACGAAGGCGAGGGGAGCGAAAGGGAUUAGAUACCCGAGUAGUC
rnacentral:rRNA from 1 species